GAUAACAUCACUCAGAACGUUUUGUUAUUUAAUUGUAAAUUUUUUUAUUUACAGGGAAUUAAAAAAUUCAUUUCGGCCAAAAUUGAAAUGAACUCGUGAACAUUUUCGUGCGAUCAUUUUUCACAACCUUCGACGUGGAUUAUCACGACAAGAGUGUAUCGAUGAACUAAAAUCUUUGUAUGGCCGUAAAAAAGGUUUGUUCUCGUUGGAUCCCGCACAAUCUAACAAUCGCUCAAAGAAAGGCUCGUGUGGAUUGGUGUGACGAAUCAUUGAUCUACCCGUAUGAGCCCGAAACAAAAGAGCAAUCGACCGUGUGGGUCUUCCAAGACGAGCCAAAUCCAACGAAAGUUGUUCGUGGAAGAAGCACUUCGAAGCAAAUUUUUGGCAACACUGGUCAUGUGUGAUAAUGUUCCGCUUGAGCAAACACCAUUUGUUUGCCUGAAGUCUUCGGAGAAAUGGGAAAAACGACCAUGAGAAGACGAAUCAUUGUGCAUCAUAACAAUGCGAGCUCUUACACAUCGGCUCAAACCAGCGCCUUUUUGACCGGCCAAAACGUCGAAUUGAUGGAUUAAGAAAAUAAUGCGUGGUCAACAAUUUUCCUCGCCAGAAGAUGCUGUUGAAGCAUUCAAAAACCAUGUUGUGGAGGUGUCUCAAUCGGAGUGGAAAAAGUGUUUCGAAAAUUGGUUUGAGCGCAUACAAAAUCGUAUAAAUCUUGAUGGAGA